ensembl:misc_RNA Metazoa_SRP Metazoan signal recognition particle RNA
GCCAGGUAUGGUGGUGCGCACCUGUAGUCCCAGCUACUUGGGAGGCUGAGGUGAGAGGAUCACUUGAGCACAGGAGGUUGAGGCUGCAGUGAGCCAUGAUCAUGCCACUGCACUCCAGCCUGGGCAACAGAGUGAGACCUUGUCUUUA